rnacentral:rRNA from 1 species
GACGAACGCUGGCGGCGUGCUUAACACAUGCAAGUCGAACGGAAAGGCCCUGCUUUUGUGGGGUUCUCGAGUGGCGAACGGGUGAGUAACACGCGAGUAACCUGCCCUUGACUUUGGGAUAACUUCAGGAAACUGGGGCUAAUACCGGAUAGGAUCUCCUGCUGCAUGGUGUGCGUUGGAAAGUGUCGGCGGUUGGGGAUGGACUCGCGGCUUAUCAGCUUGUUGGUGGGGUAGUGGCUUACCAAGGCUUUGACGGGUAGCCGGCCUGAGAGGGUUACCGGCCACAUUGGGACUGAGAUACGGCCCAGAAUCCUACGGGAGGCAGCAGUGGGGAAUAUUGCACAAUGGGCGGAAGCCUGAUGCAGCAACGCCGCGUGCGGGAUGACGGCCUUCGGGUUGUAAACCGCUUUCGCCUGUGACGAAGCGUGAGUGACGGUAAUGGGUAAAGAAGCACCGGCUAACUACGUG